rnacentral:lncRNA from 1 species
CGUCAUUUCUUUUCUGUUUUCCUCUCCCUCCUCCUCCACUCUGCUCAGGUCCCUCUCACUCUUUUUUUUUUUUAACCGCUACGCCACAGUCCCCGGGAGAAUUCAGAUCCCAACCGGGGCUUCCGGAUUCUGUAGUGGCUUUGGCCUGUGUCUGGUCUGAGGACGCCCGGAAGGCAUUGCACUGAGGCUAAGGGAAAGGUCUCUGGAGGGAGCCUCAGGAAGAGCAAAUGGAGGCCAGAGACUGGCAGGAGCGCGCCAGCGCAGGAUUUAAUCCCGACGAGCGGAUUCAGAGCCGUGCUUAUAUAAAGCUUCAGGAAGCGCCGUUCCGACGAUGAGGUCGACACGCGAGAGGCGACCUCAAGAGCGGCGGCGCCAGGGAUCUGUGCGCCAAGGGAGGACGGGAGGGAGCAGGUUCGCCAUAAUUCCUGGCUCCAGGCUCUGUUUUGUUGGACCGAGCCACUGUAUUUUAGCUCACACAGGAGAAUUCUGGCCCUGGGAAAAUUGGUCUCAGCAUGCUGCCAAGCUUUCUCAUGGACGUCAGCGAAUCCCAACACACUGUCGGUCAAAGCCGUGCUGGAAGAAACAAAACAGUUCUCCCUCGGUAGAACUGAGAGGGGAUUGGUCCAGGGCCCCCGCCGAUACCAAAAUCCAGGUUGCUCAAGUCUCUCAUAGAAAGUGGCGUAGUAUUUGCACAUAACUAUGCACAUCCUCCCGUGUACUUUAAAUAGUCUCUAAAUUACUUCGUAACACCUAAUCCAGUGUAAAUGCUAUGUAAGUAAUUGUUAUACUGUUUUUAUUUUUACUAUCUUUUGUUGUACUUUUUUUUAAAAAAGAAAUUCAUUUGUUUAAUAUUUUCGGUCUUGGGGAACCCGCGUAUAUGGAGGGCCUGCUACAUAGAGAAGACUGAGGGAUAUUCUGUGCAUCCGUUUCUACGGAUCCUCUAAAUCGGCCUUUGUUUUCAGCCAGGAUUUAGUGCCCAGCUGUGUCCUUUGGAGGCCCCACAUGGAGCUAGCAAAGUUUGCUAAAUCGGGUUUUGCAAGAGGACUGUCUGCUCCAUACUGGGAGUAGUUACCGCAAACUGCCCUAUGAAAUUGGUUGGGGUUCUUACUGUUAGCAUGUUUAUUACUUUAUCAGGGCUCUCUGUAGGAGAGUCUAUGAGAAAAUCUUCUGGUUUCUGCUGAAAGAAUCGUGUUUUGUUGGGGUUUUUUUCCCGAAAAAUAUUAUUUUUAAAAAC